UCAGUGCUCUCGGCACCUAGGUUGGAGUCCCUAGGUUGUUGUACUAACUCCACCAGGCUCGUGUUUGGUUCCACAGAUAUUCAUCAGGGACCGCGCAUUGCAAUUGGUAGCCUUUCAACAGCACUGUGCAGAAUCAAGUCUUUGCAUCUAUGUAUGCGUACUCUAUGUUUGGACAUGGUUAUUGAAUUGAUGAGAUGUUUUCCGUGCUUGGAGAAGUUGUACAUUCAGUGCGAGAAAUCUGGGACAAAGAAUUUGUGGCGUCGUAAACACCGGGACCUUCUCAGAUCUUUUGACAUCCGUCUAAAAAAAAUUGUAUUGGAUUGUUAUCGGGCCAAAAAACCUGACAUUGAUUUUGUAACUUUUUUCGUACUAAAUGCUAGAGUUCUAGAGUCGAUGACAGUUUUAGUCAAGAGGAACGAUGAGGAGUUCUUGGCAAAACAGCGUCAGAAGCUUCUGCUAGAGAGCAAGGCUUCAGAUGGGGCUGAAAUUAAUUUCGUACUCAAGGUGGACGCAAAUCCUGGGACAUAUUAUAGUAUAAGUCUGUGAUUUUGAUUUAAUGUACAUAUGGAUGUGUGUUGUAUUGGUAACUCAUGAGCUUUUCAUAUUAGCGAAUAAAAGAAUUUAUGAUGGA